CGUUCAGGCGGUGGGCUAAGUCAGGCAUGAAAUCUCACGGCUCAACCGAGAGAGGCUGUCUGAGACUGGCACACUUGAGGGCAGUCGAGGGUGGUGGAAUUCCGGGUGUAGUGGUGAAAUGCGUAGAGAUCCGGAGGAACACCAGUGGCGAAAGCGGCCACCUGGGCUGUACCUGACGCUGCACGCGAAAGCUAGGGGAGCGAACG
rnacentral:rRNA from 1 species